rnacentral:rRNA from 1 species
CAAUAGCGUAUAUUAAAGUUGUUGCAGUUAAAAAGCUCGUAGUUGGAUUUCUGGUAGGAGUGACCGUUCCGAACUUGAUUGUUCGUGUAUUGUGUUUUCUCCAGCCAUCCUUGUGGAGAACUUUUCUUGCAUUAAUUUGUAGGGAUUGGGACCCGCAUCGUUUACUGUGAAAAAAUUAGAGUGUUUAAAGCAGGCAAUCGCUUGAAUACAUUAGCAUGGAAUAAUAAGAUAGGACUUUGGUACUAUUUCGUUGGUUUGCAUACCAAAUUAAUGAUCAACAGGAACAGUUUGAGGAUAUUCGUAUGAACAUGUCAGAGGUGAAAUUCUUGGAUUUUGAUCAGACGAACUACUGCGAAAGCAUUUAUCAAGGAUGUUUUCAUUAA